AGGAGGGCCACGGUGUGAACUCGGAGGCUCUGAGCUCGGCUGAUAAGAGCUACCUCUCCCAGAGCCUGCCCGCUCUCCUCGCCUACCCCAGCCUGCUUGCAGAGGAGAUCAGCCGUGACGGCCUGCGGACAGGAGGCUACAUGCCGAGCGGAGCUGUGAAAGAGGUCCUCUUGGAGAAGCAAAGCCGACUCCCCCAUAUGACCCGGAUCCUGGGAAACAGGAACCAGUUCAGGAAGAGAGGAAGCACGUCAGAAUGCUUCUGGAAAUACUGCGUCUGAGACACACACUGAAACACGCACACACACACUGAGAAACGCACGCACACUGAGACACACACACACUGAGACAGAGACACACACUGAGAAACGCACGCACACUGAGACACACACACACUGAGACAGAGACACACACUGAGACACACACACACACUGAGACAGACACACACACUGAGACACACUGACACACACACACACAAAUCCUUGCAUGUGUAAUGAAAAGUACAGCCGCUGUUAUUUUUUUAUAACAGUUAAGGAGUGCUGUGCACAAACCGUGUAAAUAACAAUCUACUGGCAACUCACCGGCCUUCUCGAAUGCUAAACUGUAUCUUCAAUAAAACUUCAUGUUUCGAAAAAAAAAGAACCCCAGUCUGAUGUGUUGUUUUUUAUCUGAACGACUGAAAGUCUGUUUCGAUUUCACUUCAGUCUGAAGCAGGUUCAGAAAUAUCACAAGAAAAAACAAACAAAGAAAAAGGUGUUCUUAAAUUUUGCCUCUUCUGAACUUAAAAAAAAAAAAAUAAUUAUAUAUAUAUAUAUCCUACAGCAGGUCUUUGCAAAGAAAGCUAGGUAUAGAAAGGAUCAAUUACGUUCUUAGCAACCGUUUCUAACAAGGCAUCAGCACCAGCUACCUCCCCCGCUCUGACGAACUUGUAAUGAGGGAGAGAGGGAGUGAGAGAGGUAGAGAGAGGGAGGGAGGGGCUCACGCCAACAUGAGGCAGGUACAGAAGUAACGCUUUUCAUUUCUUUACUUCGAAAUCAAGCAUUUGAAAUGAGGCUGUAUCGGCUUCCUGAAGCAAGCCAUCGUGAUGAGCUUUAUAUAAUCACUCAGAACAACAAC